rnacentral:rRNA from 1 species
AUUGAACGCUGGCGGCAUGCCUUACACAUGCAAGUCGAACGGUAACAGGUCUUCGGAUGCUGACGAGUGGCGAACGGGUGAGUAAUACAUCGGAACGUGCCCGAUCGUGGGGGAUAACGAAGCGAAAGCUUUGCUAAUACCGCAUACGAUUUACGGCGGAAAGCAGGGGACCGCAAGGCCUUGCGCGAACGGAGCGGCCGAUGGCAGAUUAGGUAGUUGGUGGGAUAAAAGCUUACCAAGCCGACGAUCUGUAGCUGGUCUGAGAGGACGACCAGCCACACUGGGACUGAGACACGGCCCAGACUCCUACGGGAGGCAGCAGUGGGGAAUUUUGGACAAUGGGCGAAAGCCUGAUCCAGCCAUGCCGCGUGCAGGAUGAAGGCCUUCGGGUUGUAAACUGCUUUUGUACGGAACGAAAAGACUCUGGUUAAUACCUGGGGUCCAUGACGGUACCGUAAGAAUAAGCACCGGCUAACUACGUGCCAGCAGCCGCGGUAACAC